AUUGAACGCUGGCGGCAUGCCUAACACAUGCAAGUCGAACGCGAAAGAGGGGCAACUCUUGAGUAGAGUGGCGGACGGGUGAGUAAUACGUAGGAAUCUGCCCUAAAGUGGGGGAUAACCCGGGGAAACUCGGGCUAAUACCGCAUAAUAUCUUCGGAUUAAAGCAGGGGACCGCAAGGCCUUGCGCUUUAGGAUGAGCCUACGCCGGAUUAGCUAGUUGGUAGGGGAAUGGCAUACCAAGGCAACGAUCCGUAGCUGGUUUGAGAGAACGACCCGCCACACUGGGACUGAGAUACGGCCCAGACUCCUACGGGAGGCAGCAGUGGGGAAUAUUGGACAAUGGGGGCAACCCUGAUCCAGCAAUGCCGCGUGUGCGAUGAAGGCCUGCGGGUUGUAAAGCACUUUCGUUGGGGAAGAAAUACUUGUAGUUAAUAUCUGCAGGGGUUGACGUUACCCAAAGAAGAAGCACCGGCUAACUCUGUGCCAGCAGCCGCAGUAA
rnacentral:rRNA from 1 species